rnacentral:rRNA from 1 species
GACAGAGGUGCCGAGCGUUAGGCGGAAUCACUGGGCUUAAAGCGUGUGUAGGCGGAUGCCUAAGUACCUUGUGAAAUCCCACGGCUCAACCGUGGAACUGCUUGGUAUACUGGGUGUCUUGAGCCACUUAGGGGCAACCGGAACAAACGGUGGAGCGGUGAAAUGCGUAGAUAUCGUUUGGAACGCCAAUGGUGAAAACA